rnacentral:lncRNA from 1 species
AGCACGAAUCGCACGAAGAAGAAGAAGAAGUCAAAGACGAUACACACAACAAUGGCGACCUCAUCAUCAUCCUCUUACCUCUUCCUCCUCAUCGCGAUCAUCGUCUCUUCCCUUUCAGUCUCCACCAUCGCCGCUCGUCCUUGCAAAACCUUCCUCAUCUCCUCCUAUUCCCUCUCAAUAACCCCAGAAGAAAACCCUAACCACGAAUCCGAUCUCUCCUCCACUCGAUUCGUCACCGUCUUCACCAUCCGCCGUCUCAAUCCCCACCCAAUCGUACCUUUCUUCGUCAAUCGCCGCCAUGGAUUCCUCCCUUCCGCCGUUGAGAAACCUCAGAUCCAACGAUCGGAGGACGAUCGUGCCCAAUCAGCCUUCCCUAUGAUCUUCGAUAACAUCAAUUCGUUCAGAGACCGAACCAGAGACAUCCUCAGCGUCGUCGUGGCUCUCUUGUUCGGCGUCGGUUGUGGUGCCCUAACCGCCGCGACUAUGUACCUCGUCUGGGCUCUUGUCGUGAAUCGCCAUAGCUACAAUUUCGAGGAAGAUGAUUUCGAGAACGAUGAAUCUGAUGAAGCUAGCUUGAAGAAAUUGGGUUACGUCAAGAUCCCUGCUCCAGUUUCAGCUCCUGUGAAGGAAGCUGCUUAAUUCGAGGUUGUUCUUA